UUGUCAUCUUUGAGUCUUUUAACAGCAGCUCCUGCCAAUAACACCAUCAUCAUCAUCAUUGGAUCAGUGAUCGGCGUUCUGCUGCUGCUGGUUGUUCUUGCUGCUGUUUUUACCAAACUCAGGAAAACCAGAAAUGGAGAGGAUCACAAAAUUUCAACAGAUCAAGAUUCAACCUGUGGAAACCAUCACUAUGAUGAGCUGCAGACCAACCUGACCUACGCUACUGUUAACCUUCCUGAAACCUCUCAGAAGGUCAAACUGGGCAAAGACACUGUGACUUAUUCUACUGUCAGGACUAAAGAGAAGACAGAGGCAGACUGAUCGCAGCGACGUCUACAGCAACACCGAGCACAA